AUUGAACGCUGGCGGCGUGCCUAAUACAUGCAAGUCGAGCGCAGUUGCGAACGCUUGAGUAACGCGUAGUUAACUGCCUAUUAGAGGGGAAUAACUAUUGGAAACGAUAGCUAAUACCGCCUACUAGUAGAUGGACCUGCGUUGUAUUAGCUAGUAGGUAGGGUAAUGGCCUCCCUAGGCGACGAUACAUAACCGAGUUGAGAGGGGGGUCGGCAAACAUGGGAAGGAGAAAAGGGCCAGACGACGACGGGAGGCAGCAGGAGGGAAUCUUCGGAAAAGGGGCGAAACCUGAACGAGGAACGCCGCGGGAGUGAAGAAGGGUUUCGGAUUGUAAAGGUCUGUUGUUAAGGAAGCGGUACUUAAAGAGAAAGGGACGGCUAACUACGUGCCAGCAGCCGCGGUAAUUC
rnacentral:rRNA from 1 species